rnacentral:rRNA from 1 species
AUUGAACGCUGGCGGCAGGCCUAAAACAUGCAAGUCGAGCGGAGCGGCGGACGGGUGAGUAAUGCAUAGGAAUCUGCCUGGUAGUGGGGGAUAACGUACGGAAACGGGCGCUAAUACCGCAUACUAUCAGAUGAGCCUAGGUCGGAUUAGAUAGGGGGUGGGGUAAAGGCCUACCAGGGCGAAGAUCCGUAACUGGUCUGAGAGGAUGAUCAGUCACACUGGAACUUAGACACGGUCCAGACUCCUACGGGAGGCAGCAGUGGGGAAUAUUGUACAAUGGGCGAAAGCCUGAUCCAGCCAUGCCGCGUGUGUGAAGAAGGUCUUCGGAUUGUAAAGCACUUUAAGUUGGGAGGCGUUACCAACAGAAUAAGCACCGGCUAACUUCGUGCCAGCAGCCGCGGUAAUUC